GAUAUGGAAUGCUGAAUUCAUAUAUCCUAAGUCUUAAAUUACUGUGCUUAAGAAUUAGUUCCGUGUGCGCAAACAAUAAUAGAAAGUUGAAUGUUCAAACCACAGGUGGAAUCAUGUUUGCCCACGUAAAAAGCUAACAGUUGAAUGAGCUGCUGCUUCGUUUCCAUCAUCAUGGUCGUCAUCAUUGUUAUCAGCGUUGUAGUAUAAGUAUGCGAUAUCUACACCCUAAAACCUAUAGGGAAAAACCAAUAUGGCCAUCAACAAAAUUCAUGUUAAUGUUAUGAUUCUCCUACUGUGUGGAGCAUUUCUGCUGGGAGUUCUCAAUCCAAAAGUUGCGACUGCGCAGACAGAUGGGUGCCCAGAAUCUUGCUUUUGUAUGGAGUAUAUGACCUGUGGGUCUUCAGACGAAAAGCUAUAUAAUGGCUGCAACUGCUGCUUUAACCCAGGCUGCACCCUUCAUCUCUGCAGUAAUACCACCAUUUCCUGUCCUGCAAAUUGAAGGGGUGCAUAGUCGAUAUUGUUCCAUGCAUUAAAUUUCAAAAUCUGUUUGCAAAAUAAUGAGCUUUAUUUUGCAACAGACUUAAAUAAUCAUCAUAAAUAAAAAUCAAUCACCAUGAGCCUCGCAGCUCAAUGGCAUUGCCGUCUUCUCCCCCAUUAUUAGAACCUAGCUAGGUUCUAAUUCUUCCACUUAUUUUGUUAGCCAAAAGAAAAAAUAAAAAUAAAAAGACAGUUUGUGAAUUCAUUA